GACAGAGGGUGCAAACGUUGUUCGGAAUUACUGGGCGUAAAGAGCUCGUAGGUGGUUUGUCGCGUUGUUCGUGAAAACUCACAGCUCAACUGUGGGCUUGCAGCCGAUACGGGCGGGCUGGGAUUCGGUAGGGGAGACUGGAAUUCCUGGUGUAGCGGUGAAAUGCGCAGAUAUCAGGAGGAACACCGGUGGCGAAGGCGGGUCUCUGGGCCGAUAUCGACGCUGAGGAGCGAAAGCGUGGGGAGCGAACAGG
rnacentral:rRNA from 1 species